UCACAUUUGACUUGAAAUAUAUAAGUUGUAUUUUUUAAAUUUUACUUGUAGUUAUUAAAUUUAAGUUGUAUUUUUUAAAUUUUGGCUGUAGUUUUUAAAUUCAAGUUGUAGUUUUUAAAUUUAAAUAAUAAAUUAUGUUUGGCCCUUUGGCCCUCGGUUGGAGGUGGUUUUUUGUGACAGGGCUAAAACGAGCCAUAUGGUUCUUUGGCCCUCGUUUAGAUAUGAUAAGGCCAUAUCUAACCGAAGGCUGGUUAGAGGGCUCGUUUUAGCCCUCUGGCUCUCCAAGAAAUUAAUAUUUUAAUGAACAAUGCAGGGCCAUAUUCCUUACCAUCUCCCAUUGAGGGCCAAAGGGCCAUAGGGCUCGUUUUAGCCCUGUCACAAAAAAUCGUCUCCAACCGAGGGCCAAAGGGGGCUAUAGUAUGGGAUGUGAAGAAUUGAAAUAAAAUAAGGUAAGAUAGUAUGGAAUAAUGAAAAAUAUGUGAGAAAUGGUGUAAGAAAACAUUAGAAAUUAAAAAUUAAAAAUUUAAAAAAAAAUUUAAAAAAAAGGCUGCUAGGCAUAAAAACAAAAAGUAGGCUGAGACCCUAAAAAAAAAAAAAAAAAAAAAAAAAACUAAGCCCUAAAACCUGAAGUGGGUUGGGCAAUGGGCAAAGAACAAAAAAAAAUGAAAUUGGGCUAGCCAGCGAGCUGGUUGGCUGGCUGAAAGUGGUCAGCCGAUUGCCCAUUUGGCUCUUUCAGAUUCUGUAGGGCCUACAAGCCCUCUAGCCUAGCCCUCAGUUGGAGACGGUUUUCGGGCAUUUUCGACCAUCUGGCCCCCUUCAGUUGAAGAUGGACUAAGAAAUAUGGUCUUGCAUUGUUCAUUAAAAUAUUAAUUUUUUGGAGGGUCAGAGAGCUAAAAUGAGCCAUCUGGCCAGCCAUCGGUUGGAGAUGGCCUUACCAUCUCCAACCAAGGCCAAAAGGUCAUAAGGCUCGUUUUAGCCAUGUCACAAAAAGCCGUCUCCAACCGAGGGUCAAAGGGCUAUAGUAUGGAACGUGAACAAUUGAAAUAAAAUGAGGUAAGAUAGUAUGACAUGGUGAAAAAUAUGUGAGAAAUGGUGUAGGAAAAAAUUAUAAAUAAAAAAAAUGUCCAUAAAAAAAAGUGGGAUGGGCAUAAGAAACAAAAAAUGGGCUAGGACAAAAAAAAACCUAAGUCCUAAAUCCUAAAGUGGGCUGGGCAAAUGGAAAAGAACAAAAAAGAAAAAAAAAUGAAAUUCUGCUAGACAACGGACUAGCUGAAGAUGGCCAGCCGAUUGGCCCUUUGGCCCUUUUUUGUCUAGUGGGCCAGAUGACCGAAAAUAGCCUUAAAACCGUCUCCAAUUGAGGGUCAAGCUAAUGGGCUCGUGGGCCCCAUUGGACAAAAAAUGGCUAAAUGGCCAACCGGCUGGCCAUUUUCAGCUAGCCAGCCAGCCCGCUGGCUAGCCCAAUUUAUUUAUUUUUUGUUCUUUUCAAUUUGCCCAACCCACUUUAGGGUUUAGGGUUUAGGUUUUUUUUUUUUUUUUUUUUUUUUUUUUUGUCCCAGCCCGUUUUUUGUUUUUUAUGCCCAUCCCACUUUCUUUUUUUUUUUGGACUUUUUUUUUAUUUCUAAUUUUUUCCUACAUCAUUUCUCACAUAUUUUUCACCAUGUCAUACUAUCUUACCUUAUUUUAUUUCAAUUCUUCACAUUCCAUACUAUAGCCCUUUGACCCUCGAUUGGAGACGGUUUUUAGUGACAGGGCUAAAAUGAGCCAUAUGGCCCUUUGGCCUUCGGUUGGAGAUAGUAAGAAAUAUGGUUAUGUACUGUUCAUUAAAAUAUUAAUUUAUUGGAGGGUCAAAGGGCUAAAAAAGGCUCGUGGGCCCCACGAAAUCUAAAAAUGCCAAAGGGUAAACCGGCUGGCCACUUUCAGCCAGCCUGCUGGCUAGCCCAAUGGCCCUCGGUUGGAGACCCUUUUUUGUGAUAAGGCUAAAACAAGUCCUAUGGCCAUUUGGCCGUCGGUUGGAGAUGAUAAGGAAUAUGGCCCUGCACUGUUCAUUAAAAUAUUAAUUUCUUGGAAGGCCAGAGGGCAAAGAAAUUAAUAUUUUAAAGAAUAGUGUAGGGUCAUAUUCCUUAGGCCAUCUCUAACCAAUGGAUGGCCAGAUGGCUCAUUUUAGCCCUCUGGCCCUCCAAGAUUCUCCAAGAUAUUAAUAUUUUAAUAAACAGUACAGGGCCAUAUUUGCCUUCGUCUCAAACUGAGGGCUAGAGGGCCAGAGGGCUCUUUUUAGCCAUUUCACAAAAAACCGUCUCCAACCGAGGGUCAUAGGGCCAAACAUAAUUUAUUAUUUAAAAACUACAACUUAAAUUCAAAGGAAAUUAUUGAAAAAAUAUUGAAGGAAAUUAUUGAAAAAUUGAAACAAAUAUUAUAGGUGAAGGAAAUAUUGGAAAUAUAUUGAAGGAAAUAUUGAGAAAUAUAUUGAAGGAAAUAUUGCAAAUGAAGUGAAGAAUUGAAAGAACUUCACCAUAUUUAUAGAAGAAAAGAAAUGUUUAAAUUAAAAAAUUAAUAAUAAUAAAAAUAAAAUAAAAAAACCCAACAGCUAGCUACAACAACUAGCCAUUAUAUUCAAAACAAUUUCAAACUAUUAGUGUCGGUUAUAACCGACACUAAUAGUAAAUAAAAAAAAAAUUGCCUAUGAAUACCUAUUACUGUCGGUUAGUCGGUUAUAACCGACAGUAUUAAAAAAUUCUUCUUUAAUGUUGUCGGUUAUAACCGACAGCAAUAGGAGAACUAUAAAAAAAAUAGCCAGCCCUUUGGCCCUUUGAAAUUCCGUGGGGCCCUUCCAGAUUCCCGAGCCCUCUGGCCUAGCCCUCUAUUGGAGACGGUUUUAGGGCUAUUUUCGACUCUCUGGCCCUCUGGACCCUUCGAUUGGAGAUGGCCUUACCAUCCCCAACCGAGGGCCAAAGGAUCAUAGUGCUCGUUUUAGCGCUGUCACUAAAAAUCAUCUCCAACCGAGGGUCAAAUGGUCAUAGAGUUCGUUUUAGCCCUGUCACUAAAAAUCAUCUCCAACCGAGGGCCAAAGGGCCAAGAAUAAUUUAUUAUUUAAAUUUAAAAACUACAACAACUUAAAUUUAAAAACUACAACUAAAAUUUAAAAAAAUACAACUUAUAUAUAUCAAGUCAAAUGUGAUAGGUUUUAUCUUGAGUAUAUAAAAAUUAAAAAAUUAAAAAAAAAAGAAAAAAAAAGAAGUGGGUGGGAGAGUUCCACAUCGGCUGUGGGAGAGGAAGUAGAAAAAAAGGAAGUGGGAGUCCCACAUCUGUUGUGGGAGAGAUUUAAGCAAACUCCAAAGCCUAUAAAAAGAACACCCAAACAUUUAACUAAACAUACUUUCUAGGCCUAUAAUUAAAUAUUUAAAAAAAAAAUUUGGCCCAAAAAAAAUAAAUAAAUAACGGUAAUUGAUAUCACCUAGCCGUUGCUAGCUGACGUCAGCUAGCCAUUGGUUUCAAAUUUAUGGCUCGGCCUAGGGCUAGUUGGCUGGCUUCUUUGGGCCAGCCGGUUGCCCCUUUGGCCCUUUUUUGUCCAGUGGGGUCCAUGAGCCCUUUGGCCUAACCCUUGGUUAAAGACGAUUUUCGGGUUAUUUUCGCCCCUUCUAGCCAUCUGGACCAUUCGGUUGGAGGGCUCAUUUUAGCCCCCUGGCCCUUAAGAUAUUAAUAUUUUAAUGAACAGUAUAGGGUUAUAUUUGCAUCCAUCUCCAACCGAUGACUAAAGGGCCAGAGGGCUCGUUUUAGCCCUGUCAAAAAAAAAUUAUCUCCAACCGAAGGCUAAAGGGCUAUAGUAUGGCAUAUGAAGAAUUGAAAUAAAAUAAG
rnacentral:lncRNA from 1 species